AACGCACGAGACCUGCGGACCUGCGGAGGGAUCAUUACUGAGUUCUAAACUCCAACCCUAUGUGAACUUACCACUGUUGCCUCGGCGCUGUGCCUGCGAGAGCAGGCCCGCCGGUGGACCACUAAACUCUGUUAUACCUACUGUAUCUCUGAAUUUAUAACUGAAAUACGUUAAAACUUUCAACAAUGGAUCUCU
rnacentral:misc_RNA from 1 species